rnacentral:rRNA from 1 species
AGAGUUUGAUCCUGGCUCAGGAUGAACGCUAGCUACAGGCUUAACACAUGCAAGUCGAGGGGCAGCAUGGUCUUAGCUUGCUAAGGCCGAUGGCGACCGGCGCACGGGUGAGUAACACGUAUCCAACCUGCCGUCUACUCUUGGACAGCCUUCUGAAAGGAAGAUUAAUACAAGAUGGCAUCAUGAGUCCGCAUGUUCACAUGAUUAAAGGUAUUCCGGUAGACGAUGGGGAUGCGUUCCAUUAGAUAGUAGGCGGGGUAACGGCCCACCUAGUCUUCGAUGGAUAGGGGUUCUGAGAGGAAGGUCCCCCACAUUGGAACUGAGACACGGUCCAAACUCCUACGGGAGGCAGCAGUGAGGAAUAUUGGUCAAUGGGCGAGAGCCUGAACCAGCCAAGUAGCGUGAAGGAUGACUGCCCUAUGGGUUGUAAACUUCUUUUAUAAAGGAAUAAAGUCGGGUAUGGAUACCCGUUUGCAUGUACUUUAUGAAUAAGGAUCGGCUAACUCCGUGCCAGCAGCCGCGGUAAUACGGAGGAUCCGAGCGUUAUCCGGAUUUAUUGGGUUUAAAGGGAGCGUAGGUGGACUGGUAAGUCAGUUGUGAAAGUUUGCGGCUCAACCGUAAAAUUGCAGUUGAUACUGUCAGUCUUGAGUACAGUAGAGGUGGGCGGAAUUCGUGGUGUAGCGGUGAAAUGCUUAGAUAUCACGAAGAACUCCGAUUGCGAAGGCAGCUCACUGGACUGCAACUGACACUGAUGCUCGAAAGUGUGGGUAUCAAACAGGAUUAGAUACCCUGGUAGUCCACACAGUAAACGAUGAAUACUCGCUGUUUGCGAUAUACAGUAAGCGGCCAAGCGAAAGCAUUAAGUAUUCCACCUGGGGAGUACGCCGGCAACGGUGAAACUCAAAGGAAUUGACGGGGGCCCGCACAAGCGGAGGAACAUGUGGUUUAAUUCGAUGAUACGCGAGGAACCUUACCCGGGCUUAAAUUGCAGAUGAAUUACGGUGAAAGCCGUAAGCCGCAAGGCAUCUGUGAAGGUGCUGCAUGGUUGUCGUCAGCUCGUGCCGUGAGGUGUCGGCUUAAGUGCCAUAACGAGCGCAACCCUUAUCUUCAGUUACUAACAGGUCAUGCUGAGGACUCUGGAGAGACUGCCGUCGUAAGAUGUGAGGAAGGUGGGGAUGACGUCAAAUCAGCACGGCCCUUACGUCCGGGGCUACACACGUGUUACAAUGGGGGGUACAGAGGGCCGCUACCACGCGAGUGGAUGCCAAUCCCCAAAACCUCUCUCAGUUCGGACUGGAGUCUGCAACCCGACUCCACGAAGCUGGAUUCGCUAGUAAUCGCGCAUCAGCCACGGCGCGGUGAAUACGUUCCCGGGCCUUGUACACACCGCCCGUCAAGCCAUGGGAGCCGGGGGUACCUGAAGUACGUAACCGCAAGGAUCGUCCUAGGGUAAAACUGGUGACUGGGGCUAAGUCGUAACAAGGUAGCCGUACCGGAAGGUGCGGCUG